CAUCAUUCAAGACAACAUGGCAAUGGGCAUCAACAAGGUGUAUUUUUUCAUUGCUAUUCUUUGCAUUGUUUCAAUUAUGAUUUCAGGAGAAGCACAAGUUAUCCCUUGGGAUUAUUGCUAUGAAAAAGGACCUUGUCCAGGUGGCGAUGCUCAAUGUGCUGAAACUUGUAAGACAACUAAGGGAUUUCCUUUGGGGGGAAAGUGUGGUUGGACCGGCCUCUGUUGUUGUAAGGGUUGUUGUUAGGGGGAUUAAUUAUAUAUUUUAUUAAUGUUUGAAAAGAAUCAGUGUAUUGAUUUUUAGUUUAAAACUAAAAAUACAUUGAUUUUCAUUUUAUCAUGUGUUUUAACAAACUUUGAUAGGUACA